AGACUUCCAUCAUUUAAUACUAUUUACUGCCACUUCAGAGAACACUUUCCUGAAAAGGGAGAAAUUUGUCCUAAGUGGUACAUAAAGGUUCUGUGCUUAUAAAACAUCAUACCAGAAAUACUCUUAAAACACACAAACAUCCCUUUACCAGGAUCUACUCAGUGACUUCUUAUAAUGAUCAAAUACAUAGAAAUACAAACAUAACCAGCUAGGCAGGGCAUUUAUCUGUUGUACUUCAUUCCCUGGAGAAAUACACUCUUGAUGUUUAUUAUGAAAAAACUUGAUAUUUCCUAGAUACAAGUACUGCAGACAGGGAGAUGAGAAUGGUCAUAUUUGCUAUGAGGCCAGAAUUCAAGCUUAUACCACCAUUCCCUGAUAGCUCAAACAACAGUUGAAUCUAACCUGCCCAUUUACGUCUAACCUAGUGAUUCUUCUAUUAUACUGUUUUUUUUUCCCCCAGCACUCAAUGCCUUUUAAGAGGGUCACAGCUUUCUGGCUUAGAGCAUCUUUGGAGAAAAAAAAAUGGCAGCUUUUUGUGUGGGUGCAAUAACUUCUUAGGAAGUAAUACCUCACCUCAUCAAGGAGGUGUAGGUUUUAGAUGCUGCUAUGGAGACAACAGUCACAUUUUACAUGUAUUUUAAAAUUAAAAACACAUUAUAGCAGUAUUGAAAUUCAUUUUAAAAUACCAAAUUAUUUCUGCACUUGGAGGCAGCUAUGGUGGUCACCAAGACCAAAGGAUUUUCAUU
rnacentral:lncRNA from 1 species